rnacentral:rRNA from 1 species
GUGCCAGCAGCCGCGGUAAUACGUAGGGGUCGAGCGUUGUCCGGAGUUACUGGGCGUAAAGCGUACGUAGGCGGCUUUGUAAGUUAGAGGUGAAAGCCUGAUGCUCAACAUCAGAGUUGCCUUUAAGACUGCAUCGCUUGAAUCGUGGAGAGGUAAGUGGAAUUCCGAGUGUAGAGGUGAAAUUCGUAGAUAUUCGGAAGAACACCAGUGGCGAAGGCGGCUAUCUGGACGGUUUCUGACACUAAGACACGAAAGCGUGGGGAGCAAACAGGAUUAGAAACCCCUGUAGUCC